AGAGAAUACUGUAUAGUCAAAGAUGUCAUUUCAGGUCAUCUUCACAUCCCCUGCUGCAAUGUUGAUGAAGUGAAGAUCAAUGAAAUGAUGUCACCUGCCCUGACAGCCUUAUGUGUACCUGUACUCACAGUCAACACUGCAGACGUCAGAUCAGCUUUCUUGAGAAUGAGCCCAUGGAGAGCAAUUGGCCCACGUGAAGUCCUGGGCUGUGCACUCAGAUCUUGUGUGAACCAGCUGGUGGGAAUAUUUAUAGACAUCUUUAACCUCCCCUUACUAUGAUGUGAGUUUCCCACCUGCUUCAAGAAGAUCACUAUUAUUCCAGUGCCAAAUAAAAAUCAGGGAACAUACCUCAAUGACAACUGCCUGGUGGCUCUGACAUCCAUCGUGAAAUGUUUCAAGAGGUUAACAAUGGCACACAUCAACUCCAGCCUACCAGAUUGCAUUGAUCCACAAGGAUUCAUCUACUGUCACAAUUGAUCCACAGCAGGUGCCAUCUCCCAGACCUUAAACUCAUCCCUCGAACAUCUGGACAAAGCCAGCUAUGUCAGACCACUGUUUAUUGACUUUAGCUCCAUAUUCAAAACUAUAAUUCCAACCAAACUCAUUUCCAAAAUCUGAGACCUAGGACUCUAAUCCCCCCCUCUGCAACUGGAUCCUUGACUUUCUAACCUGCAGACAGCAAUCUGUAAGGCUUAGCUACAACGCCUCCUCCACAAUAAUCCUCAACACUGAUCCCUCACCAGGCUCCAUA